rnacentral:rRNA from 2 species
UAGUGGCGGACGGGUGAGUAACGCGUGAGAAUCUGCCUUCAGGUCUGGGACAACCACUGGAAACGGUGGCUAAUACCGGAUGUGCUUCACGGUGAAAGAUUAAUCGCCUGAAGAUGAGCUCGCGUCUGAUUAGCUAGUUGGUGGGGUAAGAGCCUACCAAGGCGACGAUCAGUAACUGGUCUGAGAGGAUGAUCAGUCACACUGGAACUGAGACACGGUCCAGACUCCUACGGGAGGCAGCAGUGGGGAAUUUUCCGCAAUGGGCGAAAGCCUGACGGAGCAAUACCGCGUGAGGGAGGAAGGCUCUUGGGUUGUAAACCUCUUUUCUCAGGGAAGAAGACAAUGACGGUACCUGAGGAAUAAGCAUCGGCUAACUCCGUGCCAGCAGCCGCGGUAAUACGGAGGAUGCAAGCGUUAUCCGGAAUGAUUGGGCGUAAAGCGUCCGCAGGUGGUUUUGUAAGUCUGCUGUUAAAGCGUCAUGCUCAACAUGAUAAAGGCAGUGGAAACUACUCAACUCGAGUGCGUUCGGGGCAGAGGGAAUUCCUGGUGUAGCGGUGAAAUGCGUAGAGAUCAGGAAGAACACCGGUGGCGAAAGCGCUCUGCUAGGCCGCAACUGACACUGAGGGACGAAAGCUAGGGGAGCGAAUGGGAUUAGAUACCCCAGUAGUCCUAGCCGUAAACGAUGGAUACUAGGUGUUGCUUGUAUCGACCCGAGCAGUACCGUAGCUAACGCGUUAAGUAUCCCGCCUGGGGAGUACGCACGCAAGUGUGAAACUCAAAGGAAUUGACGGGGGCCCGCACAAGCGGUGGAGUAUGUGGUUUAAUUCGAUGCAACGCGAAGAACCUUACCAGGACUUGACAUGUCGCGAAUUUCGGUGAAAGCUGAAAGUGCCUUCGGGAGCGCGAACACAGGUGGUGCAUGGCUGUCGUCAGCUCGUGUCGUGAGAUGUUGGGUUAAGUCCCGCAACGAGCGCAACCCUCGUUUUUAGUUGCCAGCAUUCAGUUGGGCACUCUAGGGAGACUGCCGGUGACAAACCGGAGGAAGGUGGGGAUGACGUCAAGUCAGCAUGCCCCUUACGUCCUGGGCUACACACGUACUACAAUGCUACGAACAAAGGGCAGCGACACAGCGAUGUGAUGCAAAUCUCAGAAAUCGUGGCUCAGUUCAGAUCGCAGGCUGCAACUCGCCUGCGUGAAGUCGGAAUCGCUAGUAAUUGCAGGUCAGCAUACUGCAGUGAAUUCGUUCCCGGGCCUUGUACACACCGCCCGUCACACCAUGGAAGCUGGUAGUGCCCGAAGUCAUUACCCCAACCUUUCGAGGAGGGGGAUGCCUAAGGCAGGACUGGUGACUGGGGUGAAGUCGUAACAAGGUAGCCGUACCGGAAGGUGUGGCUGGAUCACCUCCUUU